rnacentral:lncRNA from 1 species
AUUUUUUAUAUGUAGAUGUUUCAGGUUUUAAGAAUAAAUUGGUUGAACCCAAAAUCUGGAGGAAGUACCUAUAUCCAUACACAGAAUAUGCCCAUUAAGAAUACUAGUCCAAAUUUGCUUUAAUGGAACGAUUAGGGCCCGAUAUAUUUGAAACUCAUGUUGGACAUAGUAUUGAGUUGGGUAGAAUAUUAUUCUACGUUAAGUGAGGAUAUCAGAUACCUAUUAUUGUACUGUAUUUUAAUAUAUACAUUAGAAUUGUUGGUUUUUUCAUAUUUGUUUUAUAUAUUAUUUUACUUACAAGUUAUAUAAAGUUAACACUAAAAUCUACUUUUUGACUUAUAUAAGUUAGUCUGUGGUUUAAUGCGUGAUUACAUCCACAUUAUGAUUUCAAGUUUUUAAAAUAUAAAUAUUAUAACUGGCUUUAAAAACUCCAUUAAACUGUUAAAAGUGUAAUUUAUUUCAAAAUAAAUAUACAUAUACCUAUACCUAGGUAUAUAUUAAUAUCGAAAAAUAUAUAUUAAUAUCGAAAGACAUUUUUAUUUCCUUAACACCAAUUUAAUCAUCACAUACAUAUGUAUAAACAUUUAUUUACGUUAUUUCAAAUGAAGACCACAGGAAAAACCAGCUUUGUUCAUUUUAACUGGAGCCGAGAAAAUGCAAUUACGAGUGAACUACUCUGGUUUUUCUCCUGUAGGG